rnacentral:rRNA from 1 species
AUUGAACGCUGGCGGCAGGCUUAACACAUGCAAGUCGAACGAGCCGCGGACGGGUGCAUAAUGUAUGGGGAUCUGCCUGAUGGCGGGGUAUAACUACUGGAAACUGUAGCUAAUACCGCAUACCAUCCGAUGAACCAAUAUGGUAUUAGCUUUUAGUGUAGGUAACGGCUCACCUAGGCGACGAUCCCUAGCUGGUCUGAGAGGAUGGUCAGCCACACUGUGACGGAAACACGGCCCGAACUCCGCCGUGAGUCAGCAGUGGGGAUGAUUGCACAAUGGGCGCAAGCCUGAGGCAGCCAUGCCGCGUGUAUGAAUAAGGCCUUCGUGUUGUAAAGUACUUUCAGUCGGGAGGCGUUACCGACAGAAGAAGCACCGGCUAACUCCGUGCCAGCAGCCGCGGUAAUUC